AAAAAAGUUUGUUUGGAGUUU
rnacentral:miRNA from 1 species